rnacentral:rRNA from 1 species
GACGUAGGGGGCGAGCGUUGUCCGGAUUUAUUGGGCGUAAAGCGCGCGUAGGCGGUCCGGUAAGUCGGGUGUGAAAAUCCGGGGCUCAACCCCGGACCUGCAUUCGAUACUGCCGGGCUGGAGGCAGGUAGGGGAGAGUGGAAUUCCUGGUGUAGCGGUGAAAUGCGCAGAUAUCAGGAGGAACACCGAUGGCGAAGGCGGCUCUCUGGACCGGUACUGACGCUGAACUGCGAAAGCCAGGGGAGCAAACGGG